AUUGAACGCUGGCGGCGUGCUUAACACAUGCAAGUCGAUCGGUAACAGGUGUAGCAAUACAUGCUGACGAGAGGCGGACGGGUGAGGAACGCUUGGGAAUCUGCCUAUCAGCGGGGGACAACCCGGGGAAACCCGGGCUAAUACCGCAUACGCUCUACGGAGGAAAGCCGGGGACCGCAAGGCCUGGCACUGAUAGAUGAGCCCAAGUCGGAUUAGCUAGUUGGCGGGGUAACGGCCCACCAAGGCGACGAUCCGUAGCUGGUCUGAGAGGACGAUCAGCCACACCGGAACUGAGACACGGUCCGGACUCCUACGGGAGGCAGCAGUGGGGAAUAUUGGACAAUGGGCGAAAGCCUGAUCCAGCGACGCCGCGUGGGUGAAGAAGGCCUGCGGGUUGUAAAGCCCUUUCGGUAGGGACGAAAGCUCUUGCCCUAACAAGGCAGGAGGUUGACUUAACCUACAUAAGAAGCACCGGCUAACUCUGUGCCAGCCGCCGCCGUAACAC
rnacentral:rRNA from 1 species